UACGAAGGGGGCUAGCGUUGCUCGGAAUCACUGGGCGUAAAGCGCACGUAGGCGGCUUUUUAAGUCAGGGGUGAAAUCCUGGAGCUCAACUCCAGAACUGCCUUUGAUACUGAAGAUCUUGAGUUCGGGAGAGGUGAGUGGAACUGCGAGUGUAGAGGUGAAAUUCGUAGAUAUUCGCAAGAACACCAGUGGCGAAGGCGGCUCACUGGCCCGAUACUGACGCUGAGGCGCGAAAGCGUGGGGAGCAAACAGG
rnacentral:rRNA from 1 species